CAUAGAGGAACAGACAGUUUUAGCCUUAGGGGAUUAGAAGUGCUAACAUCAGAAUGACUUAAAGCUUGUCAUCAGUAUCUCUGCUCUGGGUAACAGUGGAACUGGCUCAGAGCUGGCCACUUUGAGUGACUGCUGGACUUUAAAGCCAAAGGGGACUUGAGAACUGUGAGAAGGAUAAUUCCCAGGAAUAGAUAACAUCUACCACGAUGAUGGGAACGAGAAUUUACAGAGUUCCCUGGAAUUUGCACAGUUGAUACAUCUGAGUUACAGUCUCUCUGGGUCGCCAGAGCAAAUGGCCUACUUGAAGCACAUGAGUCACUGGGAGGCACAGUUGCUCAACAGCCAGUUACUGAUGCAAUGACACAUAUGGACCUCAAAGCCAAAGACUAUCUUCUUUCUCGUCAUUUCUACAGCUUUGGAAGUAGCAUUUCCCCCAGGCAUAGCCACCCUAAUAAAAUUAUACACAGAAGC
rnacentral:lncRNA from 1 species